rnacentral:tRNA from 1 species
GGGCGAUUAGCUCAGCUGGUUAGAGUACCACGUUGACAUCGUGGGGGUCACUGGUUCAAGUCCAGUAUCGCCCACCA